rnacentral:tRNA from 1 species
GAGAAUGUUCAAAGAACUGCUAACUCUUUAUUCCAUGUUUAACCAGCAUGGCUUUCUCA